UACAGAGAGUGCAAACGUUGUUCGGAAUCACUGGGCUUAAAGCGCACGUAGGCGGCAUCGUAAGUGUCGGGUGAAAUCCCACGGCUCACCCGUGGAACUGCCCGGCAGACUGCGAUGCUCGAGUGUGGUAGGGGAGAACGGAACUCCUGGUGGAGCGGUGAAAUGCGUAGAUAUCAGGAGGAACACCGGUGGCGAAGGCGGUUCUCUGGUCCACAACUGACGCUGAGGUGCGAAAGCUAGGGGAGCAAACGGG
rnacentral:rRNA from 1 species